GCCAGUUUGGCUCAGUGGAUAGAGCAUCAGCCCACAGACUGAAGGGUCCCUGGUUUGAUUCCAGUGAAGGGCA